UGCUAUACAUGCAAGUCGAGCGGACCGACGGGAGCUUGCUCCCUUAGGUCAGCGGCGGACGGGUGAGUAACACGUGGGUAACCUGCCUGUAAGACUGGGAUAACUCCGGGAAACCGGGGCUAAUACCGGAUGCUUGAUUGAACCGCAUGGUUCAAUCAUAAAAGGUGGCUUUUAGCUACCACUUACAGAUGGACCCGCGGCGCAUUAGCUAGUUGGUGAGGUAACGGCUCACCAAGGCGACGAUGCGUAGCCGACCUGAGAGGGUGAUCGGCCACACUGGGACUGAGACACGGCCCAGACUCCUACGGGAGGCAGCAGUAGGGAAUCUUCCGCAAUGGACGAAAGUCUGACGGAGCAACGCCGCGUGAGUGAUGAAGGUUUUCGGAUCGUAAAACUCUGUUGUUAGGGAAGAACAAGUACCGUUCGAAUAGGGCGGUACCUUGACGGUACCUAACCAGAAAGCCACGGCUAACUACGUGCCAGCAGCCGCGGUAAUACGUAGGUGGCAAGCGUUGUCCGGAAUUAUUGGGCGUAAAGCGCGCGCAGGCGGUUUCUUAAGUCUGAUGUGAAAGCCCCCGGCUCAACCGGGGAGGGUCAUUGGAAACUGGGGAACUUGAGUGCAGAAGAGGAGAGUGGAAUUCCACGUGUAGCGGUGAAAUGCGUAGAGAUGUGGAGGAACACCAGUGGCGAAGGCGACUCUCUGGUCUGUAACUGACGCUGAGGCGCGAAAGCGUGGGGAGCGAACAGGAUUAGAUACCCUGGUAGUCCACGCCGUAAACGAUGA
rnacentral:rRNA from 1 species